rnacentral:rRNA from 1 species
CGCGUAGGCGGUUUGUUAAGUCAGCUGUGAAAGCCCCGGGCUCAACCUGGGAACUGCAGUUGAUACUGGCCGACUAGAGUACGAGAGAGGGAGGUAGAAUUCCAUGUGUAGCGGUGAAAUGCGUAGAUAUAUGGAGGAAUACCAGUGGCGAAGGCGGCCUCCUGGCUCGAUAGUGACGCUGAGGUGCGAAAGCGUGGGGAUCAAACAGGAUUAGAUACCCUGGUAGUCC